rnacentral:rRNA from 1 species
CCUACGGGUGGCUGCAGUGGGGAAUAUUGGGCAAUGGGCGCAAGCCUGACCCAGCAACACCGCGUGAAGGAAGACGGCUUUCGGGUUGUAAACUUCUUUUGUCAGGGACGCAGCGAGUGACGGUACCUGACGCAUAAGCCACGGCUAACCACGUGCCAGUAGCCGCGGUAAUACGUAGGUGGCAAGCGUUAUCCGGAUUUACUGGGUGUAAAGGGCGUGUAGGCGGGACUGCAAGGCAGAUGUGAAAACCACGGGCUCAACCUGUGGCCUGCAUUUGAAACUGUAGUUCUUGAGUGCGGGAGAGGCAGACGGAAUGCGUAGUGUAGCGGUGAAAUGCGUAGAUAUUAGGCGGAACACCAGUGGCGAAGGCGGUCUGCUGGACAGCAACUGACGCUGAGGCGCGAAAGCGUGGGGAGCAAACAGGAUUAGAUACCCUAGUAGUC